rnacentral:rRNA from 1 species
AUGUUUGUUUCAUUCAUUCACCGGAAAAAUCUUAAAGCGGAGCUCCAUUCCAAUCUCGCUCCAAUACGGAUGUCAUGUUUGUUGGUUCAAUGUCGAUACUCCUCACACGGUGUAGUUCUGGUUGAUGGUGUCGAUGUCAAGGCCCUUGAGCUUCACCACGGAUUCAACGUGGCCCUUGAGUGUGUUGUCCCAGGCCCUUCCACUAAGCACAAAUCGGAUGAAGAACUUGAAAAUGUCAAGUGGGAAGUAGAACACAAUGCUGAAGAGCCAGAUAACACCAGCCCAGCCCCACCCGAUUCCCUUGAUCCUUGCAAACUCCCAGUUGGCAUAGACAGCGAUGAGUGUUGCAACCUGCAUCAAGAAGGAAGGCGGUAA